rnacentral:tRNA from 1 species
CGCCUGGGGCGGCCAGGGGAAUGACUUCCUGGAUGGAGGCCAGGGCAACGACUGGGUGCUGGGCGACCGCGGUUCCGACACCGUCCAUGGCGGC